rnacentral:rRNA from 1 species
CAGUUGCCGCGGUAAUACAGAGGGUGCGAGCGUUAAUCGGAUUUACUGGGCGUAAAGCGUGCGUAGGCGGCUUCUUAAGUCGGAUGUGAAAUCCCUGAGCUUAACUUAGGAAUUGCAUUCGAUACUGGGAAGCUAGAGUAUGGGAGAGGAUGGUAGAAUUCCAGGUGUAGCGGUGAAAUGCGUAGAGAUCUGGAGGAAUACCGAUGGCGAAGGCAGCCAUCUGGCCUAAUACUGACGCUGAGGUACGAAAGCAUGGGGAGCAAACAGGAUUAGAUACCCCGGUAGUCCCUGUCUCUUAUAC